CAGUCGCCACGGUAAUACGUAGGGUGCGAGCGUUAAUCGGAAUUACUGGGCGUAAAGCGUGCGCAGGCGGUUUUGUAAGACAGGCGUGAAAUCCCCGGGCUCAACCUGGGAAUGGCGCUUGUGACUGCAAAGCUAGAGUGCGGCAGAGGGGGAUGGAAUUCCGCGUGUAGCAGUGAAAUGCGUAGAUAUGCGGAGGAACACCGAUGGCGAAGGCAAUCCCCUGGGCCUGCACUGACGCUCAUGCACGAAAGCGUGGGGAGCAAACAGGAUUAGAGACCCGCGUAGUCCCUGUCUCUUAUAC
rnacentral:rRNA from 1 species